ensembl:snRNA U4 U4 spliceosomal RNA
AGCUUUGUGCAAUGACAGGAUUGUAACCAAUGAGGUUUAUCCGAGGUGUGAUUACUGCUAACUGAAAACUUUUACAAAACAAAAAGUAUAUAUAUGUGUGAUUUGGGCAUGGGUGGCAUGCACC